GAGGAAUAUUGGUCAAUGGGCGUAGGCCUGAACCAGCCAAGUAGCGUGAAGGAUGACUGCCCUAUGGGUUGUAAACUUCUUUUAUAUGGGAAUAAAGUUUUCCACGUGUGGAAUUUUGUAUGUACCAUAUGAAUAAGGAUCGGCUAACUCC
rnacentral:rRNA from 1 species